rnacentral:ncRNA from 2 species
GCUACACAACUUGUUACGGGUGCCCUUCACAGGGUGAAACGGGAAACCGGUGAAUCACGCGCUUGCCAGCCGUGACCAGUCCGGUGCUGCCCCCGCAACGGUAAGCGAGCGAAGUGUCAGAUCCACUGUGCCCCCUGGCAUGGGAAGGUGACACUUGCCGGCACGGCCCAAAGGCCGGCCCCUCGCAAGCCCGGAGACCGGCCCGCAAUACACGAAUGAC